AAAAACAUCUGCACACCAUUAUUGUUUACAAGCCUUGCAUAUUUCAAGGUCUUCAAGGAACUGAUCAAAAAGUGACGGACAACACAUUGUACAGGUCAGUUGAUGAACGAGAGAAAGAGUUU
ensembl:ncRNA T01C8.8 ncRNA